rnacentral:rRNA from 1 species
UGGGGAAUCUUGCGCAAUGGGGGAAACCCUGACGCAGCAACGCCGCGUGGGUGAUGAAGGCCUUCGGGUCGUAAAGCCCUGUCAGGUGGGAAGAAACUUGUGGAUGUUAAUACCGUCCACACUUGACGGUACCACCGGAGGAAGCACCGGCUAACUCCGUGCCAGCAGCCGCGGUAAUACGGAGGGUGCAAGCGUUGUUCGGAAUUAUUGGGCGUAAAGCGCGUGUAGGUGGUCAGGUAAGUCAGAUGUGAAAGCCUUCUGCUUAACAGAAGAAGUGCAUUUGAAACUGCUUGGCUAGAGUACGGGAGAGGAGAGUGGAAUUCCCGGUGUAGAGGUGAAAUUCGUAGAUAUCGGGAGGAACACCAGUGGCGAAGGCGGCUCUCUGGUCCGAUACUGACGCUGAGACGCGAAAGCGUGGGGAGCAAACAGGAUUAGAUACCCUGGUAGUCCACGCCGUAAACGAUGGGCACUAGGUGUAGGAGGUAUUGACCCCUUCUGUGCCGAAGCUAACGCAUUAAGUGCCCCGCCUGGGGAGUACGGCCGCAAGGCUA